rnacentral:rRNA from 1 species
UACGUAGGUGGCAAGCGUUGUCCGGAUUUACUGGGUGUAAAGGGCGUGUAGCCGGGCUUACAAGUCAGAUGUGAAAUCCGGGGGCUCAACCCCCGAACUGCAUUUGAAACCGUAGGUCUUGAGUAUCGGAGAGGCAGGCGGAAUUCCUAGUGUAGCGGUGAAAUGCGUAGAUAUUAGGAGGAACACCAGUGGCGAAGGCGGCCUGCUGGACGACAACUGACGGUGAGGCGCGAAAGCGUGGGGAGCAAACAGG